UUCUGUUGUCCUUCAUUCCACCGGAGUCUGUCUCAUACCUAAACCAGAUUUCAGUGGAGUGAAGUACGAGAGACA
rnacentral:pre_miRNA from 1 species